rnacentral:tRNA from 1 species
GGUGACUCAGUGGUAGAGUGCUUGCCUAGCAUGCAUGAGGCCCUGGGUUCAAUUCCUCAGCACCA